AUGAAUAUAUUAUCUUGGAACUGCCGGGGGGCGGGGAACCGCCGGACAAUUCACGAGGUGUUGGCCCUCUCUAAAGCCAAUAACCCCGAGCUUGUUUUCCUUUGUGAAACAAGGCAAGAUUCAGUUAAGGUACAUAAACUCAAGUUGAGACUUGGGUUGAAAGGAUUUCAUGGCGUCAGUAGUGAUGGAAGAAGUGGAGGUUUAGCAUUGUUUUGGGACGAGUCU
rnacentral:rRNA from 1 species